rnacentral:rRNA from 1 species
ACACAUGCAGUCGAGCGGUAACAGGUCCAGCUUGCUGGAUGCUGACGAGCGGCGGACGGGUGAGUAACGCAUAGGAAUCUACCCGGUAGUGGGGGAUAACCUGGGGAAACCCAGGCUAAUACCGCAUACGUCCUACGGGAGAAAGGGGGCUUUGGCUCCCGCUAUUGGAUGAGCCUAUGCCGGAUUAGCUGGUUGGUGAGGUAAUGGCUCACCAAGGCGACGAUCCGUAGCUGGUCUGAGAGGAUGAUCAGCCACAUCGGGACUGAGACACGGCCCGAACUCCUACGGGAGGCAGCAGUGGGGAAUAUUGGACAAUGGGGGCAACCCUGAUCCAGCCAUGCCGCGUGUGUGAAGAAGGCCCUCGGGUUGUAAAGCACUUUCAGCGAGGAAGAACGCCUGUCGGUUAAUACCCGGCAGGAAAGACAUCACUCGCAGAAGAAGCACCGGCUAACUCCGUGCCAGCAGCCGCGGUAAUACGGAGGGUGCAAGCGUUAAUCGGAAUUACUGGGCGUAAAGCGCGCGUAGGUGGCUUGAUAAGCCGGUUGUGAAAGCCCCGGGCUCAACCUGGGAACGGCAUCCGGAACUAUUAGGCUAGAGUGCAGGAGAGGAAGGUAGAAUUCCCGGUGUAGCGGUGAAAUGCGUAGAGAUCGGGAGGAAUACCAGUGGCGAAGGCGGCCUUCUGGACUGACACUGACACUGAGGUGCGAAAGCGUGGGUAGCAAACAGGAUUAGAUACCCUGGUAGUCCACGCCGUAACGAUGUCGACCAGCCGUUGGGUGCCUAGCGCACUUUGUGGCGAA